rnacentral:rRNA from 1 species
CACGGAGGAUGCAAGCGUUAUCCGGAAUGAUUGGGCGUAAAGCGUUCGCAGGUGGCUGUUCAAGUCUGCUGUCAAAGACCGGGGCUUAACCCUAGAAAGGCAGUGGAAACUGAACGGCUGGAGUGCAGUAGGGGUAGAGGGAAUUCCCAGUGUAGCGGUGAAAUGCGUAGAAAUUGGGAAGAACACCGGUGGCGAAAGCGCUCUGCUGGACUGCAACUGACAAUGAGGGACGAAAGCUAGGGGAGCGAAAGGG